rnacentral:rRNA from 1 species
AGGAUAAACGCUGGCGGCGUGCCUAACACAUGCAAGUCGAACGCCCUACGCAAGUAGGGAGUGGCGGACGGGUGAGGAACACGUGGGUUAUCUGCCUUUCGGUGAGGAAUACCAGCGAGAAAUCGCUGACAAUACCGCAUACGGUUCUUUCGAGAGGAAGAACGAAAGUCGUAAGACGCCGGGAGAUGAGCCUGCGCCCGAUUAGUUUGUUGGUGGGGUAAAAAGCCUACCAAGACUGCAAUCGGUAGCUGGUCUGAGAGGACGAUCAGCCACACUGGGAUUGAGAACGGCCCAGACUCCUACGGGGGGCAGCAGUGAGGAAUUUUCGUCAAUGGGGGAAACCCUGAACGAGCAACGCCGCGUGCAGGAAGAAGGUUUUCGGAUCGUAAACUGCUUUUCUGUGGGAAGAGAACGGACGGUACCACAGGAAGAAGCCCCGGCUAACUACGCGCCAGCAGCCGC